rnacentral:rRNA from 1 species
CGACCGCGUGGAGGAUGAAGUCCCUUGGGAUGUAAACUCCUUUCGAUCGGGACGAUAAUGACGGUACCGGAAGAAGAAGCACCGGCUAACUCUGUGC